ensembl:piRNA 21ur-3790 ncRNA
UUCGUCUGUGCUAAUUAUCGU